AUGGAGCAGAUACUGAAGGAGGCUCAAACCCGAUGGUUACGCCCUACUGAGAUUUGCGAAAUACUUAAGAAUUACAGGAAUUUUCAUAUAGCUCCAGAGCCACCAAAUAUGCCUGCAAGUGGUUCACUUUUCUUGUUUGAUCGGAAGGUAUUGAGAUUGUUUAGGAAGGAUGGUCAUAAUUGGAGGAAGAAAAAGAAUGGAACGACUGUCAAAGAAGCCCAUGAAAGAUUAACAUCUGGAAGCAUCGAUGUGCUUCAUUGCUACUAUGCUCAUGGGGAAGAUAAUAUAAACUUCCAGAGGAGGAGCUAUUGGAUGCUGGAGGAGGACUAUAUGCACAUUGUCCUUGUACAUUAUCUCGAAGUCAAGCGCGCCCCGUGUAGCUCAUCGAGGAGCUCAUCGACCACCGGAAUAGGGAAUUUGUCCUUAAGUGUGACAGCAUUAAGGGCACGUGCGCAAGAAGUCGACCCGAGGAUGAAGUCGAAGCAGCCCAAGUCGAUGCUGGCGCAGGUGAUGGUGAAGUGCUCGUCGCCGAUACUUCCAAGUGGUAAUGAUGGUACGAGUACUGAAUGUCUUCAGCUUCCAAGUGCUAUUGAUGGCACAACUACUGAAUUUCAGCUUCCAAGUGCUACUGAUAGUACAUUUGCUACAGUGGACAGUUUUGAACAAAACAAUAAACUUUUGGGGGAAGCCAUUAAUUUCCCCGUCCUGAAAACUCAAUCAUCUAAUCUUUCUGAUAUGCUGAAGGACAGCUUUAAGAGAAGUGAUAGUUUUGCUAGAUGGAUGAGCAAAGAACUUGCUGAAGUAGAUGAUUCCCAAGUUAAGUCCAGUUCUGGAUUGUACCGGAACAGUGAAGAUGCUGACAAUAUCAUUGGAGCAUCGAGGCAUGAUCAGUUGGAUUGGUUUACUCUGGACCCAAUGGUUGCACAAGAUCAGCUGUUUAGUAUAACUGAAUUUUUUCCAAGCUGGACAUAUGCAGGUUCAAAGACUAGGGUUCUUGUUACUGGUAGUUUCCUAACUUCUGACAAAGUUAUAAAGCUCAAGUGGUCGUGCAUGUUUGGAGAAGUCGAAGUUCCAGCAGAUAUUUUAGCAGGCGGGACUCUCAGGUGUUAUUCUCCCCCGCACAAACCUGGCAGGGUCCCUUUUUAUGUGACUUGCUCCAACAAGUUAGCCUGCAGUGAAGUACGAGAGUUUGAAUAUCGACCAAGUGAUUCUCAAUACAUGGAUGCUCCAAGUCCACAUGGUGCUACAAACAAAAUAUAUCUCCAGGCGCGUCUUGAUGAAUUAUUGUCUUUGGGACAAGAUGAGCAAGACAAGUUCCAGGCAGCUCUAUCUGGCCCCAAAAAGGAGUUGAUUGAUUUGAACAAGAAGAUAACCUCAUUGAUGACAGACAAUGAUCCGUGGUCUGAAUUGCUAAAGUUCGCUGAUGAUAAUCAGCUAGCCCCUGAUGAUAGGCAGGAUCAGUUUGUUGAAAGCAGUAUAAAAGAAAAGCUGCAUAUCUGGCUUCUCCAUAAAGCAGGAGGUGGUGGCAAAGAUCCCAGUGUGUUAGAUGAGGAAGGGCAGGGCGUUCUUCAUCUGGCAGCUGCUCUAGGAUAUGAUUGGGUGAUAAGGCCGACAAUAACUGCUGGUGUAAGCAUAAAUUUCAGAGAUGUUCAUGGAUGGACUGCACUUCACUGGGCAGCAUUUUGUGGCAGAGAGCGGACAGUUGUUGCUCUUAUAGCAUUAGGUGCGGCUCCUGGAGCUUUGACUGAUCCAAGGCCUGAUUUCCCUUCAGGACGCACGCCAGCUGAUCUUGCGUCGUUCAAUGGGCACAAGGGAAUUUCUGGUUUCCUGGCAGAGUUUUCUUUAACAAGCCAUCUUCAAACCCUCAACCUGAAGGAAGCCAUGGGGAGCAAUGCAUCAGAGAUAUCUGGUCUACCUGGUAUUGGAGAUGUUACCGGAAGAAUUGCCUCACCAUCGGCAGGUCAAGGUCUUCAGGCUGGAUUGAUGGGAGAUUCACUAGGUGCUGUGCGGAAUGCUGCCCAAGCUGCUGCUCGGAUAUUUCAAGUUUUCAGAGUGCAGUCCUUCCAGAGAAAGCAAGCAGUUCAGUAUGAGGAUGACAAUGGUGUGAUAUCAUAUGAACGUGCCAUGUCACUCUUGUCUUAUAAACCAUCUAAACCAGGACAAUUCGAUCCCAUGCAUGCUGCUGCAGCACGAAUACAAAAUAAAUUCCGUGGAUGGAAGGGAAGAAAAGAAUUUCUGCUUAUUAGACAGCGAAUUGUCAAGAUCCAGGCUCAUGUGCGAGGUCACCAAGUGAGCAAGCAUUAUCGCAAAAUAAUUUGGUCUAUCGGGAUAAUGGAGAAUGUUAUAUUGCGAUGGAGGCAGCAAGGAGCUGGGUUACGCGGGUUUCGGUCUACAGAAGGUGCAACAGACAGCAGCACUAGUAGCAGCAGUGUCGAUGUAAUCCCAGUUAAACCUGCAGAGGAUGAUUAUAACUUCUUGCAAGACGGACGGAAGCAAGCUGAAGAAAGACUGCAGAGAGCUCUUGCCAGAGUGAAGUCCAUGGUUCGGUACCCCGAAGCCCGGGACCAAGAUCAGAGGAUUCUGACUGUCGUAACAAAAAUGCAGGAAUCCCAGCUUGUGGAGGAAACUUUGCUUGAGGAGUCGACGGAGAUGGAUGAAGGCUUUUUUGAUGAGUGA
rnacentral:rRNA from 1 species